UGCAUGUACAUAAGUUGUUUUCAUCUUUGGCAUAAUACACGAGGUCUCAACAAUGCUGAAGAAUCAGAAACUCUUAUUAUGAAAUAUCGCACUUCCGGUGGACGUUAAAGGGAGCGAUCACACAGCUCGCAUGUUGCUGUGGAAGAUGCAGUUUACGUUCUAAAGCGUUUAGUCUGGUGUAAUAUAUAGUCAUGGGGGAUCACGUCGAGUUGGUCGCUGGCUGUUGUGAGCAGAUAGUAUUUGGAUAUCGUGUCCUGGUGAUUAGGAGUGGGCAAUUGAGCCCAACUUUACCCAUCAUGCACACACAGCAUCA